AUUGAACGCUGGCGGCGUGCUUAACACAUGCAAGUCGAUCGGUAACGCGGGGGCAACCCUGGCGACGAGAGGCGGACGGGUGAGGAACGCUUGGGAAUCUGCCUAUCAGCGGGGGACAACACGGGGAAACUCGUGCUAAUACCGCAUACGCUCUACGGAGGAAAGCCGGGGACCGCAAGGCCUGGCACUGAUAGAUGAGCCCAAGCCGGAUUAGCUAGUUGGCGGGGUAACGGCCCACCAAGGCGACGAUCCGGAGCUGGUCUGAGAGGACGAUCAGCCACACUGGGACUGAGACACGGCCCAGACUCCUACGGGAGGCAGCAGUGGGGAAUAUUGGACAAUGGGGGAAACCCUGAUCCAGCGACGCCGCGUGGGUGAAGAAGGCCUGCGGGUUGUAAAGCCCUUUCGGUAGGGACGAAAGCUCUCGACCUAACACGUCGGGAGGUUGACUUAACCUACAGAAGAAGCACCGGCUAACUCUGUGCCAGCCGCCGCCGUAAUAC
rnacentral:rRNA from 1 species